CCCGAUCAUUGCUUCUACUUCUCUUCGGAGGCGCUCCCUUCCAUUACUCGAUGCCGCCGCCCAUGAAGUUCGCCGCUUUGGAUUCCUCUCCGUCGCCGGCGAUAUCUUCACGGGUGAGCUCCGAAUCCCUCCCAGCCAAUUCCCUCAACGCCUAAAUCAAACUCUUGGUCGGAUCAAUCGGAAUCCAAUUCGUGGAAAUAAGGAAAUUCUCAAAUCUAGAAAAUGUAAUCAAGGAGGGGGAAAAAGGAAAUGUAAAGUGUGAUUUUCCGAUCUUUUUGAGGUUUAAUUCAUGACAUGCACAUUAUGUUUGAACCAGUGAAAUGAUUUGAAUUUGGAAUAUAGAUUUAGUGAGGAUCUUGUUCUUUGUUGUUAUUGUUGUUAUUAUUAUUAUUGAAAAAAGGCAAUGUAAAAUGUGAUUUCCGGAUC